AGCGCUGGAACCAGGCUGCGGGGAGGUCGGGGUGAGAGUACGCUUGAAAUUAGCAUUGAGAAGACGGCUGCCAGGGCUUGAGGAAAUUGAGGUUGAGCUUACCUUUUUCUGGGUGGAAGUCGUCUGUCCUCUGAGGUGAUGGUUUAUGGAAGCGGCGUGGGGGAGUGGAAGGAGGAAGAUAUAGGAGAGAGCGAAACACGCACAGAGAGAGGGAGGAGGGGGAGGAGAGCAUGGAGGCUCUCCAGUCUGAAGAGAGGUCCCGACUCCCGACAGUGCCUGAGUUGUGUGGUUAAGCAAAUGGAGAGAAGAUUGAACGUAUUUCUAUAAAGCAGCCAGCGCCGCCACCACCCUUUCUCCACCUGCAGCCUUUUCUCCUUCAAAGGCUACCGACAGAGAGCAGCCGCUUGGCUGUAGAGGAGAAGAUAGAGGAGAGGAGGAGGAGGAUAAAGGAGAGAAGGAGUAAAUCACAAAUAAGCAAGAGUAUACACACACACACACACACACACACACAGGUCCAAUCCCUUUGAGGUAACCUGACAUUAUAUCACUCCAUGGUUAUACAUUUUUAAUCAAGCUUGUCAGUGGGGUUCAUAAACCUGCAUCACCCCUCCUUCUGUUCAUGUAGCCUCCUCCUCCAUCCAUCCACGCGUCCAUCCCUCUGUUUAUCUACCCUCCUCAUCCAUCCAUCCAUCCACCCUCACUUCAUCUGCCCUCUUCCUCUCCUCCCUGCUAACCCUCAGGUUAAUGGAGACCAGCUCUCCCACACGAAAAUCAUAAAGCCACUGAUAAUGUGCAGCAUUUUCUGGGACUCGAGGCUUUUUAAUUUAUUUUCGAAGCACAAAAAUGUUGAUAGAUAUAGGCUAUGAA